rnacentral:sRNA from 1 species
AACCAAAUAUUGCCGUAGACAGCAGGUGCCUUUGGCGUAAAUCCUGCCGAGGAAACUGCUUGAAUAUGAGCGAUACAGAGCCUCUUUGUCUAUGUGCAAAGAGGCUUUUCGAAU